GCCUUCGGGCAUUUGGUCAAUUUGAAACGAUACAGAGAAGAUGUAAGUUCUACCCUAGAGGUCAUGAGUUCGAACCGCAGUUACUGACAGCCUCACAGUAGCAUGGCCCCUGCACUAAGGAUGACACGCUCAAUCAAAGAGAAGCUACCAAUUUUU
rfam:Colletotrichum incanum strain MAFF 238704 contig1784, whole genome shotgun sequence.